rnacentral:tRNA from 1 species
GUCUCCGUAGCUCAGCCGGAUAGAGCAUCCGCCUCCUAAGCGGCAGUUGGUUCAAAUCUUUCGGAGCCU